rnacentral:rRNA from 2 species
GGGAGCUUGCUCCUUGAUUCAGCGGCGGACGGGUGAGUAAUGCCUAGGAAUCUGCCUGGUAGUGGGGGACAACGUUCCGAAAGGAGCGCUAAUACCGCAUACGUCCUACGGGAGAAAGUGGGGGAUCUUCGGACCUCACGCUAUCAGAUGAGCCUAGGUCGGAUUAGCUAGUUGGUGAGGUAAAGGCUCACCAAGGCGACGAUCCGUAACUGGUCUGAGAGGAUGAUCAGUCACACUGGAACUGAGACACGGUCCAGACUCCUACGGGAGGCAGCAGUGGGGAAUAUUGGACAAUGGGCGAAAGCCUGAUCCAGCCAUGCCGCGUGUGUGAAGAAGGUCUUCGGAUUGUAAAGCACUUUAAGUUGGGAGGAAGGGCAGUAAGUUAAUACCUUGCUGUUUUGACGUUACCGACAGAAUAAGCACCGGCUAACUCUGUGCCAGCAGCCGCGGUAAUACAGAGGGUGCAAGCGUUAAUCGGAAUUACUGGGCGUAAAGCGCGCGUAGGUGGUUCGUUAAGUUGGAUGUGAAAGCCCCGGGCUCAACCUGGGAACUGCAUCCAAAACUGGCGAGCUAGAGUAUGGUAGAGGGUGGUGGAAUUUCCUGUGUAGCGGUGAAAUGCGUAGAUAUAGGAAGG